rnacentral:rRNA from 1 species
GCUUGUCUCAAAGAUUAAGCCAUGCAUGUCUAAGUAUAAACGAAUCUAUACUGUGAAACUGCGUACGGCUCAUUAAACCAGUUAUAGUUUAUUUGAUAUUCCCCUACUACUCGGAUACCCGUAGUAAUUCUAGAGCUAAUACAUGCUAUCAAGCCCGACUUCUUGAAGGGUUGUAUUUAUUAGACUUAAGCCAAUAUUCCUUGUGUCUAUUGCGAUGAUUCAUAAUAACUGAUCGAAUCUCAAAUUUGAGAUAAAUCAUUCAAGUUUCUGCCCUAUCAGCUUUCGAUGGUAGUGUAUUGGACUACCAUGGCAGUAACGGGUAACGAAGAAUUAGGGUUCGAUUUCGGAGAGGGAGCAUGAGAAACGGCUACCACAUCUAAGGAAGGCAGCAGG